AUUAUUAGUAAAUUAAUAUUUUGAGUAGUAUUAGGGUUCUUAAAACUAAAAGAGUUUGGCGGUACUUCAGUCUUUUUAGAGGAACCUGUAAAUUAAUCGAUAGUCCACGUGUAUCUUACUAAAUUUAAUAUAUGUAUAUCGUUGUCAUCAGAAUAAUUUUUAGAAUAUUUUCAAGAUAUAGAUUUUUAUUAUGUCAAAUCAAGGUGCAGUUUAUAGUUUAGUUUAAUAUGGGUUACAAUAUCAAUGGAUAUAUGGAAUUUUUUUUGGAAUAGGAAAGUGAAGGUGGAUUUAAUUGUAUUUUUUUAUAAGAUUAGAGAUAAGAAAUAGUACUAAAGUAUGC
rnacentral:rRNA from 1 species